GACGAACGCUGGCGGCAUGCUUAACACAUGCAAGUCGAACGGAAAGGCCCUGCUUUUGUGGGGUGCUCGAGUGGCGAACGGGUGAGUAACACGUGAGUAACCUGCCCUUGACUUUGGGAUAACUUCAGGGAACUGGGGCUAAUACCGGAUAGGAGCUCCUGCUGCAUGGUGGGGGUUGGAAAGUUUCGGCGGUUGGGGAUGGACUCGCGGCUUAUCAGCUUGUUGGUGGGGUAGUGGCUUACCAAGGCUUUGACGGGUAGCCGGCCUGAGAGGGUGACCGGCCACAUUGGGACUGAGAUACGGCCCAGACUCCUACGGGAGGCAGCAGUGGGGAAUAUUGCACAAUGGGCGGAAGCCUGAUGCAGCAACGCCGCGUGCGGGAUGACGGCCUUCGGGUUGUAAACCGCUUUCGCCUGUGACGAAGCGUGAGUGACGGUAAUGGGUAAAGAAGCACCGGCUAACUACGUG
rnacentral:rRNA from 1 species